rnacentral:rRNA from 1 species
GACGAACGCUGGCGGCGUGCUUAACACAUGCAAGUCGAACGGAAAGGCCCUGCUUGCCGGGUACUCGAGUGGCGAACGGGUGAGUAACACGUGGGUGAUCUGCCCUGCACUUCGGGAUAAGCCUGGGAAACUGGGUCUAAUACCGGAUAGGAGCCAUUUUUAGUGUGAUGGUUGGAAAGUUUUUUCGGUGUAGGAUGAGCUCGCGGCCUAUCAGCUUGUUGGUGGGGUAAUGGCCUACCAAGGCGGCGACGGGUAGCCGGCCUGAGAGGGUGGACGGCCACAUUGGGACUGAGAUACGGCCCAGACUCCUACGGGAGGCAGCAGUGGGGAAUAUUGCACAAUGGGCGCAAGCCUGAUGCAGCGACGCCGCGUGGGGGAGGACGGCCUUCGGGUUGUAAACUCCUUCCGCUAGGGACGAAGCUUUUUGUGACGGUACCUAGAUAAGAAGCACCGGCUAACUACGUG